GGCCUGAUGGUCUAGUAGUAUGAUUCCUUGUUAGGGUUAAUGCGAUGUGUCAUUGCAUAAUACCGCAUCGAGGAGGUCCCGGGUUCAAUUCCCGGUUAGGCCC